rnacentral:rRNA from 1 species
UGGGGAAUUUUGCACAAUGGGGGAAACCCUGAUGCAGCGACGCCGCGUGAUUUAGAAGGCCUUCGGGUUGUAAAAAUCUUUUCUAUGGGAAGAAAAUGACAGUACCAUAGGAAUAAGGACCGGCUAAUUACGUGCCAGCAGCCGCGGUAAUACGUAAGGUCCGAGCGUUGUCCGGAAUCAUUGGGCGUAAAUGGUACGUAGGCGGGUAAGCAAGUUAGAAGUGAAAUCCUAUAGCUCAACUAUAGUAAGCUUUUAAAACUGCUCAUCUUGAGGUAUGGAAGGGAAAGUGGAAUUCCUAGUGUAGCGGUGAAAUGCGCAGAUAUUAGGAGGAAUACCGGUGGCGAAGGCGACUUUCUGGCCAUAACCUGACGCUGAGGUACGAAAGCGUGGGUAGCAAACAGG